AACGAACGCUGGCGGCAUGCCUAACACAUGCAAGUCGAACGAGACCUUCGGGUCUAGUGGCGCACGGGUGCGUAACGCGUGGGAACCUGCCCUUAGGUUCGGAAUAACUCCCCGAAAGGGGUGCUAAUACCGGAUAAUGUCUUCGGACCAAAGAUUUAUCGCCUUUGGAUGGGCCCGCGUUGGAUUAGCUAGUUGGUAGGGUAAAAGCCUACCAAGGCGACGAUCCAUAGCUGGUCUGAGAGGAUGAUCAGCCACACUGGGACUGAGACACGGCCCAGACUCCUACGGGAGGCAGCAGUGGGGAAUAUUGGUCAAUGGGCGGAAGUCUGAUCCAGCCAUGCCGCGUGAGUGAUGAAGGCCUUAGGGUUGUAAAGCUCUUUUACCCGGGAUGAUAAUGACAGUACCGGGAGAAUAAGCUCCGGCUAACUCCGUG
rnacentral:rRNA from 1 species